ensembl:snRNA LOC120093314 U6 spliceosomal RNA
GUAGUGCUCAUACACUACACAUACCAAAACUGGAACAAUGAACAGAAGGUUAACACAGACCUUGCACAAAGAUGACAUGUAAAUUGGUGAAUGGUCCCAAGACUGU